GAUGAACGCUGGCGGCGUGCCUAAUACAUGCAAGUCGAGCGAACAGACGAGGAGCUUGCUCCUCUGACGUUAGCGGCGGACGGGUGAGUAACACGUGGAUAACCUACCUAUAAGACUGGGAUAACUUCGGGAAACCGGAGCUAAUACCGGAUAAUAUUUUGAACCGCAUGGUUCAAUGGUGAAAGACGGUUUUGCUGUCACUUAUAGAUGGAUCCGCGCCGCAUUAGCUAGUUGGUAAGGUAACGGCUUACCAAGGCAACGAUGCGUAGCCGACCUGAGAGGGUGAUCGGCCACACUGGAACUGAGACACGGUCCAGACUCCUACGGGAGGCAGCAGUAGGGAAUCUUCCGCAAUGGGCGAAAGCCUGACGGAGCAACGCCGCGUGAGUGAUGAAGGUCUUCGGAUCGUAAAACUCUGUUAUUAGGGAAGAACAAAUGUGUAAGUAACUAUGCACGUCUUGACGGUACCUAAUCAGAAAGCCACGGCUAACUACGUG
rnacentral:rRNA from 1 species